AUAUAGCAACAUCCAGGCAGAGCAACUAAUGGUAGAUAUUUUUCCCAGGUGGGGUGGUGGGCUCUCCCCCGUUGCUCAGAUUCUGAUAAAUGAGUCCCCCUAGAUCUGCCAACCCUACAGAGAAUGGGGAGUGGACCUUCCCGCCCACCCACUGCUACAUUCCCCUGGCAGAUGGCCCAGGGGAAAGAAAAGGUGAACAUAGCACUGGAAUAGAGGCCAGCCCUCACCCCAGGUCUUGAUGAGAAUCAGAGGCAGAUCUAAGUAGAUGGAUGGGUUUGGCCCCCAAGAGUGUCAUUGCUAGAAGGGAGAGGUUAUCCAUCGCCCAUGUGGGGAAUUUUUGAGGAGUUUGGCAACAGAUACCAAUAUCAUUUGUGGGGUCCAUGACCUCUGAAGGUGAGUAGGGGAGGUGGCAUUCACUUCUUGAUGGGGCUGGUGUCUCAAAUGACGAUGGUGGCAAGGACAGGGCUGCUCUUUCUAAACGGAUCCCCAAAUGGGAUGGACAGGGCCUGUCUCAUUAUUGCACUGGUCUUAUCUCUGAUUGCUAUUUUGGUUGGUGAGUCAUUGUGAAGAUGCCACGCGCUCAAUAUUCCACCCCAGAGACAGCAGCCCUAAGGGCAAACAUUUACUUGAUUACCCCAUGUUAUGGACUGAAUUGUCUUCCCCCCCAAAUUCAGAUGUUGAAGUCCUAAUCCGUUAUAUGACUGUAUUUGGAGAGAGGACCUUUAGGGAGGUAAUGAAGGUUAUCUGAGCUCAAAAGAUUCGGAGCCUAAACUGAUAGGACUCUUGUCUUUUUAGGAAGAGGAGGAGACACCAGAGCUCUCUCUCUCUGUCUGUACGGAGAAAAGGUCAUGUGAGGACACAGUGAGAAGGUGGCCAUCUACAAGGUUUAAUGGCAUUUCUUUCUGGUGAGUGAAGAAUUUAAAAUCCAGAAAUGAGUUGGUGAAGGAAUUACUCUGUGAAGGAAGACCCUGACUACUGCACUCUUACAGCUGAGGAGAUGGAAGCACUGGGAGGUCAAGGCCCUGCUCAAGAGUUUGCAGCUGGUGAAUAAUGCAAUUCUACAGAUCUACCAAUUGUCACCUGGCAGAGUUUUGGUUAAGAUGAGGUUCUGGUAAACAGAGACUUUAAUCAAGUAUUGGUACAAUAAAUGUAUGUGAACUAGCAUUCUUGUAUUGAAGUUAAAAAAACUAAAUAAAAUACAGAGCCUGAUGUGCGCCUGCAGUUUUUUCUCUUAAUACCAACACCAAUGGUUUAGUUUCAGCAAAACAAAAACAUUCAUCACAUUACAUUAAAGUUGCAUGUUUGAAUAUGUUCGAAUAAUCAUUGCUUUAUUAUUUUGUUGCUUUGUAUUUAUUUACUUUAUAUACAUUUUUUGUUUAUAAUAUAAAAGCUAUAAGCACCAAACAUUAAUACAUAGUCUCAUGUUUAUACAUCUUUAAGUAACAUAAUAAAAAUUAAAUCAACAUUCAGUAAUGAGAAUUAUUUU